UUCGCUUAUCUGCAGUGAAUUGUAUUUCAAUAUUUCCGUAUGUAUACUCAAUAAUUUUAUCUGGAAUAUUUUGAGUAGGUACAUGUGAUGGUUGGUUUUCAUUAUGAAUAGACCAUGUUUGUGGUAGAACAAUAUCUGACCAUGAUAUUGUUUUUGGUAUAAUUGUAUUUGAUUUUUCCAUAUUAGUUUAAAAAAAUAUUGUUUGUCCUCUAGUAUCUAUUUGAAGUACAUUUGAGCAUAAUGUAGUCAUUACUUUGUAAUAUAUUCGAUAAACAAUAGCUAUAUUUUGAGAACCUGUCAUCAUAUCAAAUCCUUGUGUUUUAAGGUUUAAGGAUAAAACAUUUAAUAUAUUUGGAUCUGUAAGGGAUACGAAAUAAUUUGGAAAACAGUUAAAGUAUAC
rnacentral:lncRNA from 1 species